rnacentral:rRNA from 1 species
AUUGAACGCUGGCGGCAGGCCUAACACAUGCGAGUCGAGCGGAUGAAGGGAGCUUGCUCCUGGAUUCAGCGGCGGACGGGUGAGUAAUGCCUAGGAAUCUGCCUGGUAGUGGGGGAUAACGUCCGGAAACGGGCGCUAAUACCGCAUACGUCCUGAGGGAGAAAGUGGGGGAUCUUCGGACCUCACGCUAUCAGAUGAGCCUAGGUCGGAUUAGCUAGUUGGUGGGGUAAAGGCCUACCAAGGCGACGAUCCGUAACUGGUCUGAGAGGAUGAUCAGUCACACUGGAACUGAGACACGGUCCAGACUCCUACGGGAGGCAGCAGUGGGGAAUAUUGGACAAUGGGCGAAAGCCUGAUCCAGCCAUGCCGCGUGUGUGAAGAAGGUCUUCGGAUUGUAAAGCACUUUAAGUUGGGAGGAAGGGCAGUAAGUUAAUACCUUGCUGUUUUGACGUUACCAACAGAAUAAGCGCCGGCUAACUUCGUG